CACGCAGUAAACGAUGAUUACUAGGAGUUUGCGAUAGACAGUAAGCUCCCGAGCGAAAGCGUUAAGUAAUCCACCUGGGGAGUACGCCGGCAACGGUGAAACUCAAAGGAAUUGACGGGGGCCCGCACAAGCGGAGGAACAUGUGGUUUAAUUCGAUGAUACGCGAGGAACCUUACCCGGGUUUGAACGUAGGGAGACAGGGGUGGAAACAUCCUUUUCAGCAAUGACUGCCUACGAGGUGC
rnacentral:rRNA from 1 species